rnacentral:rRNA from 1 species
GACGGGGGGGCAAGUGUUCUUCGGAAUGACUGGGCGUAAAGGGCACGUAGGCGGUGAAUCGGGUUGAAAGUGAAAGUCGCCAAAAAGUGGCGGAAUGCUCUCGAAAACCAAUUCACUUGAGUGAGACAGAGGAGGAGUGGAAAUUUCGUGUGUAGGGGGUGAAAUCCGAUAAAUAUACGAAGGAACGCCAAAAGCGAAGGCAGCUCUCUGGGUCCCUACCCGACGCUGGGAGUGGCGAAAGCAUGGGGAGCGAACAGGAUUAGAAACCCGAGUAGUCCAGACCAAAGGAUCCUUCGUGGCCUAAC